GAUGAAGAACGUAGCGAAAUGCGAUAAGUAAUGUGAAUUGCAGAAUUCAGUGAAUCAUCGAAUCUUUGAACGCACAUUGCGCCCGCCAGUAUUCUGGCGGGCAUACCUGUUCGAGCGUCAUUUCAACCAUCAAGCCCCAGGCUUGUGUUGGAGCCCUGCGGCUGCCGCAGCCUCCCAAAACCAGUGGCGGGCUCGCUAUCACACCGAGUGCAGUAGUUUACUCUUCGCUCAGGGCGUGUGGCGGGUGCUAGCCGUAAAACCCCCAACUUCUCAAGGUUGACCUCGGAUCAGGUAGGAAUACCCGCUGAACUUAAGCAUAUCAAUAAGCGGAGGA
rnacentral:misc_RNA from 1 species